AGAGGGAAAAGCUCAAAUUUAAAAUCUGGCAGUGCUUUGCUGUCUGAGUUGUAACCUAGAGAAGUGUAGCCUGUGCUGGACUGUGUACAAGUCUCCUGGAAUGGAGCAUCGCAGAGGGUGAGAAUCCCGUCUUUGACAUGGACUUGCCAGUACAUCAUGGCUGUGCUCUCAACGAGUCGAGUUGUUUGGGAAUGCAGCUCUAAAUGGGUGGUAAAUUCCAUCUAAAGCUAAAUAUUGGCGAGAGACCGAUAGCGAACAAGUACCGUGAGGGAAAGAUGAAAAGAACUUUGGAAAGAGAGUUAAACAGUAUGUGAAAUUGUUGAAAGGGAAACGUUUGAAGUCAGUCUUGUUGGCCAGGGAUCAGUCCAACUUUGUUGGGUGUACUUCCUGACCGACAGGCCAACAUCAGUUUUGACUGUCAGAAAAAGGUGAAUGGAAUGUGGCACCUUUGGGUGUGUUAUAGCUGUUCAUCAUAUGUGGCAGUUGGGACUGAGGAAAGCAGUGUGCCGAAAGGGCCGGGUUUCGACCACGUUCACAUUGAGGAUGUUGGCUUAAUGGCUUUAAGCGACCCGUCUUGAAACACGGACCAAGGAGUCUAACAUGCAUGCGAGUGUUUGGGUGGAAAACCCUUACGCGUAAUGAAAGUGAAAGUUGAGAUCCCUGUCAUG
rnacentral:rRNA from 1 species